AGAGAGAGACCCCCCCUCCCCGAGCUCUUGCUGUUGCCCCCACCCCCUUUUUUCUUUUCUCCCACCCUCCCUUUGCAAGGCUGCCUCUGAAAGAGGUGCAGUCAUUCCUACCCACACCCCCUUGCCCAACCCCCCUCUCUCCCCCCCUCUCCCCUUCUAUAAAUUCCCUGCUGUAGCAUGCUGCCCUUUUUGAAUCCACAUUUGUGUUUCAGGUCAUGUAGAAAGGACAGAAAGUGAGGAGGGAGCGGGGGCUUUUGUCUAGUGUUCUCCCUGUGCUGCUCGAAAGAACGUGCAGCCCUAAGUCUUAAUUGAACCUGAGAAUGGUUUAUCAUCCAAGGUUCACAGAAAGCCAGAAGCACAUUCCAAUCAGCCAUGAGCAUGGAGGGUUUCUUCAGG